AGAGCAAACAAGGCCCGUGGGCGGGGCUCUGGGGCACCCAGCAGGCCGCAGGGAGGACAGGGGACGUUUUCUCUCCCUGGACAUUCCAUUAGGGAAAGCCUGCCAAAGGCUGUGCCAAAGACUUCAGUCUGCUCCAGUAUUACGGAUGCACCAAUAAAUGGCUCCAUUCAAAGGAGAGACGGCCCAAAGAGAUUUGCUAAUGCUAUUGCCUGCCCAGGCUGCUGCCAACCACAGGCUGCCACCCAGGUCUGCUUCUCCGGGUCAGGCUCACCCAGCUGUUCUGCCCAGUUUCUAAAAUGCUGUCUGCUCCGGGAUACACAAAUACGUGGUGCACACUUCUGGUUUCCUGUCUGUACUAGCCUUCAACAGGAUGAUUUCAGAACUGCAGCUUGGAGGAGCCUGUGCUCACUAUGAUGUGGAGAGUCACCAGCUUGUAGGAGAUGGACGAAAGCAGGAAGGACUCACUUCACCUCUAUACCUUCCUCCUUAGACAAGUCAUCCAAUAUGUCAGGAAGCAGGCCGUGAGGAAGUAAACAACACAGAGGCCAACUCUCAGCCCAUCUUAGUCCAUUUGUGUGUAAGAAUGACUGGCACGUGCUACCAUGACCUAACCUUGACCACAUCACACUAAGCAAAGAAGCCAUCCCCAAGACAGCAUCGUCUAUGACCUGUGUGAAGCGUGUACCCUGGCAGGAGGCAUUGGAAAUGAAUCCCCCACGCAGCUGUGUUGGGGGUCAGGGCCUUUGAGGGAAUGUUCAGAGAGCAAGGAGCUUGCCUUCAUGCAUGGACGGAUGCUGCUACAAAAGAGCUCUGGAAGUUAGUUCUUUCUUUCUUGUUAUCCUGCCAUGUGAGGUCACAGCGUUUCUCUCAAGAGGAUACAGCUAUGGAGCCUUGAUCUUGGACUUUCCAAUCUUUAGAACUGCGAGGAUUCCUCUUGGAGUAGCACCAAAUAGAGCAAGAACCAAAAUGAUGAAUUUGUGAGGAAAUGUGUAUUAAAGGUCUUUGAUCUAUU